rnacentral:rRNA from 1 species
UACGAAGGGGGCUAGCGUUGCUCGGAAUUACUGGGCGUAAAGGGCGCGUAGGCGGCGCUGUUAGUCAGGCGUGAAAUUCCCGGGCUUAACCUGGGGACUGCGCUUGAUACGGCAGUGUUAGAGGGUGGAAGAGGGUCGCGGAAUUCCCAGUGUAGAGGUGAAAUUCGUAGAUAUUGGGAAGAACACCGGUGGCGAAGGCGGCGACCUGGUCCAUUACUGACGCUGAGGCGCGACAGCGUGGGGAGCAAACAGG